AAAAGGAAACAAUAAUGACAAACACUGCUUAGAUGGCUCACAGAAUUGUGGAGCUGGAGUGUCGCAUAAAGAAUAAUAAAAUAGUGACAAAAACUGAUGAUUAAGGGUCCCCACAGUAUGAGGAACUGUAUUAAAUUUUGCAACAUUAGGGAGGUUGAGAAUCAUUGGCUUAAUCCCUCUAAGUUAUAUCCUUAGAGCCCUUUGUCAUUCACACUUACUGAAAUUAAGGGCUUGGAUAUAACUUAUUGGUGGAAGCAAGCACAAUUGAACAUCAGAUAGCAAAAUCAAAUAAAUUACUGUGAAAACAACAACAACAAAAGGCAAUGAGCUUUUUUUCUCCAUUUUUAACCUGAGAACUUCCUUAUUUUUUUUUUCUUUAUGGUCAAAUAGUUGCAUUUCUUUGGAGUUACAUGUCUUUGGAGUUACAAGGCUUUCUUUUUGAAAAGCUUGGUCAUACAAUAAAUAAUGUGAAGUGUUUUGUAUAUUUUAAACUAUAAUUUAUGCCUUCUCUCUUCUGUUAUGACUCUGUGCUUGUUAAUAUGAUAGAUGAACUACAUGCAAACUCUUAGGGAAAGAAAAGCAGAGGGAAAAAAGACUAGAUUGGUAUCCUAGCACUGUUUCUGAACUGAUGUGUGUGUUUCUCAUAGAACAAGUUAGUAUGAAUUAAGGUUACUCACAGUUCCUAAUGUCAUGUGCCAUAUUUCCAUUGCAGGGAGGCUGUGGCUGUAUAUGUUUCAAGUUUUCAUUGACUUGUUUAUUUGUGUAUUUAUUUAUUUUUGACUCAUGUAGCCCAUGAUGGCCUUGAACAUGUUAUGUUGCCUAGCUAGAGCUUGAACGAAUCCUUUUCUUACUCCUGUAUGCCAAGUGCUGGGGUUAUAGGCAUAUGCCAGUACGCCUAGCUCAUUGACGAGUUUCUACCAACAAUGAUAGCUUCUGUUGCCAAAUGUGGCUGCUAAGGAGAAAACAUAGCUUCAGGCCAUGUUGUGGUUUCAUGGAAGUGCAUGAGUUCAAGCAUGGCUAUGCCUGUGCCUUUGCGCAUGCCCUGUAUCACAUCUGACUAAGAUUCCAUUUGAAGUGUGCCCAGGCCUCUGCGCACCUUAUCAGAUCACAUCUGAGUAAGAGUUCACCCCUACCUAAACUGCCAUCUUUGGUGAUGCUUACCCCGACGUCACCAUCCUAGCAAAUGACAUUCCCAGCAUCCAGGGGCCUUUGUGGCUACUGCCUACCGUAAUUGCUCGGCCUCAGCUAUGUUUAUGAUUCUGCAAUGAAUUGUGUGCUGAUAGUAUGGUUCUAUGAUACUAACAAAGACAAAACCUAAAGAAUAUUGCACACUGUCUUCAGGUCUCCAAGAACUUGCAAAUACUGCAGGUUGCGUCGUUCUUAAGUAAAUAAGUGGUAAAUAAAACUCUAUUCCUCCAAGAUGGAUCUGAAGCAGCAGGAUUGACCCUGUCUAUUUCCUCUCAUUUAUUAUUUCAUUUUACAUGUAAAAAGAAUUAUAUUUUAUUUGAAUAAGAAAUGUCAAUAGUGGAAGUGCUUGUUAUCUUUCCUCUGCCAUAACUUGUCCAUUGUUGAUUCUAAGAAAAGUAUGUUCGGGCAAACUUCAAGCAUGUCAUAGUCUAGCAACUAAAAUAAUUCAAUGAUGUUUCUUCUACCAUAGCCACAGUAUACACAACCCCUUUUACUUAGCUAAUUUAAUUGUCCUAAGUGAAUUUUGAAUUCUCCGUGACAGAUGUGAUCAAGUCCAGAAUGUUUUUGAUAUGUCCUGUGAUUCUGCUCAGCUUUAAUACAGCAAAACAUUGUCAUAAAAGACAGUAAUUGAGCUGGGUUUGUUUAUUUUUCAAAGUUAGCAAAAACAAAAAAAAAAACC
rnacentral:lncRNA from 1 species